rnacentral:rRNA from 1 species
AUGCCACAACCAGAUCCAAAUAGUCUAGAGAAAUGGAACUAUGACCCCGAGAGAGCUCAUCGGGAGUUGGUGAGGAUGAUUGUUGUUCAUCAAUUGCCAUUCUCUUUCAUGGAAUACGAGGGAUUUAGAAGAUUUGUGUAUAGUCUGAAUCCCGCAUUUGAGGUGGUUUCUAGGACGACAAUAAGAGUUGAUUGCCUCACGCUAUUUCAUGAACAAAGGGAAAAGUUUCGAGAGGCUAUACAGACCAUAACCUCUCGUGUCUCUUUAACCGCCGACAUGUGGACUUCAAGUCAAGCCGUGAGCUAUAUGUGUAUAAUAUGCCAUUUUGUUAGUACGACGAAGUGGAAAUUACAG